GAUGAACGCUGGCGGCGUGCUUAAUACAUGCAAGUCGAGCGAACAGAUGAUGAUUUUGCUCCUUUGACGUUAGCGGCGGACGGGUGAGUAACUCGUGUAUCACCCACCUAUAAUACUGGUAUAACUACGGGAAACCGGAGCUUACACCGGAUAAUCUCUUGCUCCGCAUGGUUCUUUAGUGAAUUCCGGUUUUGCUGUCACUUAUAGAUGGAUCUCCGCUGCAUUAGCUGGUUGGUCAUGUCAGGGCCUACCAAGGCAACGAUGCGUAGCCGACCUGCGAGAGUGAUAGGCCACACUAGAAAGGAAACGCGGUCCAGAGUCCUAAGAGAGGCAGCAGAAGGGAAUCUUCCGCAAUAGGCGAAAGCCUGACGGAACAGCGGCACGUGAGUGCUGAAGGUCUUGGGAUCGUAAAAAUCUGUUAUUAGGGAAGAACAAAUGUGUACGUAACCAUAGACGGAUUGACGGUACCUAAUCAGAAAGCCACGGCUAACUACGUG
rnacentral:rRNA from 1 species